GUUGUCAGUCUGAUUAAAUUACUCAUUCCCUUAUUCCCUUACUUCCUAUUAAUGAGUGUUUUUUUCUAGGUAGUUUCUAAGGUUUCAUCCAUGCCUUAAAUGUUUUAUUUUAUUAUUAUUAUAUACUUUGAUUUUUUUUAUCCACUGCUGGAUUUAGGGUAGUCUUUAUAUGUCAGGACCCAGGUCAUUAAUUCUGGAAAAAUUCAGUCAUUAUCUCCUCAGUGAUUGACCCAUCCCCAUCUUUCUCUUCUCUAUCUGAAGUGUUUAUGUUCAGGAGGGUCUUCUCAACUUAGCUUGCAUGUUUCUUAAUUGGACUGUUCAUAACUAUGCUCUUAUACCUCUGUAUCUGACAGUGUUUGUUUCCAAGCAGUUUCAUGAUCACCCAUUCUUUUAAGAGCUAUCAUUUUCUUGCAUUAUUCCUGCCUUUAUCUCUGGAGAUAUUAAACCCAUUUUAAAAAAGGUUUUUAUAUUAUAUGUUGAUCUUAAUAUAUGAAAUUUUUGUUUUAUUGCACUGUGGCUGUGGUAAUUUUACCGUAGUUUAUUAUAAUUUAGAUUUGUAAGUUCAUCCUCAGGGCAAUGAUUAUUCUGGUGGGAAUUCUGCUUGCCCUGAGUUGUAGAGACCUACAUUGGGAGGAGGAAGGUGUUCCAGGGCCAUUUCUCCUAUGAUAUGACAUAAAUGUUAAAAUAUUUUCUAUGCUUGCAGUUCCAAUUUGUGAGUGGUGGCAUGGAGCAAUCAAGGCCCAACCCUAUGGAGUUCUUGCAUCCCCAGCUGAUCCUUUCCAUCCAUUGCUGAAACAGUUGGCCUGGUUCAUGUUCAAGUCCAGUGGUCAUAGCUUGUUAUUUCCAUUUAAGACUCAGGCUUGGACAAAUAGCUCAUUCCAGCUCUCUAACAAAUUAAAAAAAAAAAAACAAACAAACAAACACAUAUCCUCAACUCCUUCCAAGCUAGGUUUAUUAAAACCAUAUACCUUAAGG
rnacentral:lncRNA from 1 species